CUACGGGGUGCUGCAGUGGGGAAUAUUGCACAAUGGGCGCAAGCCUGAUGCAGCCAUGCCGCGUGUAUGAAGAAGGCCUUCGGGUUGUAAAGUACUUUCAGCGGGGAGGAAGGGAGUAAAGUUAAUACCUUUGCUCAUUGACGUUACCCGCAGAAGAAGCACCGGCUAACUCCGUGCCAGCAGCCGCGGUAAUACGGAGGGUGCAAGCGUUGAUCGGAAUUACUGGGCGUAAAGCGCACGCAGGCGGUUUGUUAAGUCAGAUGUGAAAUCCCCGGGCUCAACCUAGGAACUGCAUCUGAUACUGGCAAGCUUGAGUCUCGUAGAGGGGGGUAGAAUUCCAGGUGUAGCGGUGAAAUGCGUAGAGAUCUGGAGGAAUACCGGUGGCGAAGGCGGCCCCCUGGACGAAGACUGACGCUCAGGUGCGAAAGCGUGGGGAGCAAACAGGAUUAGAUACCGUGUAGUC
rnacentral:rRNA from 1 species